CACGUAGGGGGCGAGCGUUGUCCGGAUUAUUGGGCGUAAAGAGCUCGUAGGCGGCUCAGUAAGUCAGGUGUGAAAACUCCAGGCUCAACCUGGAGACGCCACCUGAUACUGCUGUGGCUAGAGUCCGGUAGGGGGAGCAUGGAAUUCCUGGUGUAGCGGUGAAAUGCGCAGAUAUCAGGAGGAACACCAGUGGCGAAGGCGGUGCUCUGGGCCGGAACUGACGCUGGAGGAGCGAAAGCGUGGGGAGCAAACAGG
rnacentral:rRNA from 1 species